rnacentral:rRNA from 1 species
AGAGUUUGAUCCUGGCUCAGAGCGAACGCUGGCGGCGUGGUUUAGGCAUGCAAGUUGAGCGCGAAAGCGGACUUCGGUCUGCGAGUAAAGCAGCGGAAGGGUGAGUAAUGCAUGGGUAACCUACCCUAGACUCUGGUAUAGCGUCUGGAAACGGACGGUAAUCCCGGAUAGCCUCGGAGGGGGGCAUCUUUCUCCGAGUAAAGAUAGGGAUCUUCGGACCUUUCGGUCUGGGAGGGGCCCAUGUCCCAUCAGCUUGUUGGUGAGGUAACGGCUCACCAAGGCAUUGACGGGUAGCCGGACUGAGAGGUUGGCCGGUCACACUGGGACUGAGACACUGCCCAGACUCCUACGGGAGGCUGCAGUCGAGGAUCUUCCGCAAUGGGCGAAAGCCUGACGGAGCGACGCCGCGUGAAGGAUGAAGGCCUUCGGGUUGUAAACUUCUGUCACAGGUUAGGGAUUGCGUAGCGUUAACAGCGCUGCGUUUGACAAAGGCCUGAAAGGAAGCCACGGCUAACUCUGUGCCAGCAGCCGCGGUAAUACAGAGGUGGCAAGCGUUGCUCGGAAUCACUGGGCAUAAAGGGCGUCUAGGCGGAUGGGAAAGUUGGUUGUGAAAUCCCUCGGCUCACCCGAGGAAGUGCAACCAAAACUGCCUGUCUUGAGGACGAGAGGGGAGAGUGGAACUCCUGGUGGAGCGGUGAAAUGCGUAGAUAUCAGGAGGAACGCCGGUGGCGAAAGCGACUCUCUGGCUCGUUUCUGACGCUGAAGCGCGAAAGCUAGGGGAGCGAACGGGAUUAGAUACCCCGGUAGUCCUAGCCGUAAACGAUGAGCACUAAGUAGUGGUACUUCGAUGGUGUCACUGCCGUAGCUAAUGUGUUAAGUGCUCCGCCUGGGG